AGAAAUAUUGUAGUAAUUUUCUUCAGUACAUUAGAUGAAACCAAAAUAAACUUACUGACAGCGAGAAGCAAAAUGGAUACUGUUGAUGAGUUUCCUGUUAUUUUCUUCACUCCCAAACACAUACGGAGAGAGAUGCGCAACAAAAAUUUGAUAAAUUUCUUAUCUUGUUUCUCCAUGUUAUGCUGUUGGCGGGUUUACAUAACACAAAUAAAUUCAGAACAAAACAUAAUAGAGGAGAAAAAUUUACCAGGUUGAGAUGAGAAAAUUUGGAAGCCUCAAAGCAGAGAGAAACAUAGAAGGAGAAAGAGAGGACGUUCUGGAGGUUUGUUCGGGACAAUGAUCCGACGAUUCUCUGCUGUACUUUGUUAUCCCAGUCGAAAUCGCGUUGGAAAAUUUUCGGGUGUUUGUGAGAUAUUUGGUCAGUGAUGAUUUCGAUCAAAAUCAAGUGUUGAUCUGAGACCUUUAUCACUGAUAACUGGUUGCAUCUUCACUAC
rnacentral:lncRNA from 1 species